CUGAUCAACUGUAGGCCACUAAUAAGAGCAGCUGUAUACAGCCUAUGCGCCCUGUCCAUCUGGUCAGGGUAAACUAAUUGGUAAUGUUAUGUACAGUGCGUCAGUGAAGUGGAUGAUCAGGGCUUUAUUCAGUAACGUUUCUUGGGCUACUUUGAGGUGUCAAGUGGACGGGAUGUGCAGUCUGUUUAAAACUUUAUGAAUUUUGAGAUGACUGUGUUUUUCAUAGAGAAACCCGUUGUCCAAACCUACUAUGUAAUGGAAUGUAUCUGCUAUUUGUAUUUACAGCUAAAUCCACUCCGGUUCCCUGAUUUAAGAGGUGAUGACCACUCCAAUCCACGACUAUUGUCAACUCUCUCCUGACAUGAACUGAAGCAGUGUCUCAUGUGCUCGCUCAUCCACUGGCAUAUUGAAUGUUUCCUCUCCAGUCUCCAAGCAAUUCAACUCCUGUCCUGCACUGAAGUCAAGCCUCUGAACACCUCAACGCAUGCCUCACACCCUCAUUCAAUUACCGCUGUGAUUCCUUCCCAAAACAGUGUAAGUAAUCCUCUCCUUCCCAUUCCCCGAAACAUUGUGCUAUAAAUGUCUUUAUUAAAUGCUUUAGGUUAAAAUCCUUUUGCCUUUGACGAUUUUUGAAACACACUCGUCUCCGUGGGUUCCACGCCAAUACCGUGGGUAUCCCAUCCUCCUCCAUUUGUCAAGUCACCAACCUCCACUGGUUUCAUGAUAUAUGUGUAUUUUAGUCCAUCUUGUGUUUCCGUUUUAACUCUGCAUCGUUGGGAAGGGCUCGUAGGCAAGCAUUUCACGGUAAAGUCUACACCCGUUGGAUUUUGCUAAGUGCUAGCACCACCAGGCUCCCUCUCUUUCCAUAGGCGGUGAGGGGGGGGGGUCAGUGGUUCCAGAUACUGGGAUUGAUCUCUCCCCACCACUACACUGGCCCUAAUUAAGGCCUGAGAGUUUAAUGGAGCAGGGAAUUUUAGGAUCUAUUGAUGAGGACAGAUUAUUGGCAUUGGGAUGGAAUUCAUAAUUAGGUGGGUGUUUGUAUUUGUCCUAUUUAUCUGCAUAUGGAAGUGUUUUUUUUUUUGCAUAUCCCAAUGAGACCAGGGUCUACCUUUAUCAGAGGGACUCUUGAGCAAUUUGGGAAUACGUGUCUUGCUCAACGGCACAUAGGCAGAUUUGUCACCUUAUCGGCUUGAAGAAUCAAACGAACAACCUUUCGGUAACUGACCCGACACUCUAACCACUAGGCUACCUGCUGCCUGAAAAUGUAAGUGCAUUUAAUCAUUUAAAGGAGCCAAAAGCUAACUAGAUUUAAAGGGACAGUAGCGGAAAAACACAACAAAUCCUAAUUGAGCAAUGAUUCCUCACCCAGUAUAAACAGCCUCAUUACCACUGAGUAAGAGAGAACGCUUUUGUUAUCAUUUGGAUUUAAAUGCUUGAGAGACAAAAAAAAUGCUCAUUAAAUCUCCCAUGGGAUUGAAGUCAAAGGGUCAUCAAUGAGACAUUAUGUGACUAAUAAGGCUAAUUUGGGAGAUUGUGUUUGGAGCCCGGUGUCCGGGUAGCUAACGCGUAAAAGAGUAAUGACGUGAAGUUAAUAGGAGAGUUAAUUUAGUACUUGCCAUUCCGCUACCCAGAUUAAUAGACUGGAUGGAUGAGAUGAGCUAUAGUAGAUGAGUGAGAAAUAAUUACUUUGAAACAGUGCACUGGGGAGAGGGAAUGUGAGAUGGAGGAGGAGGAAGGGGAACAGGGAAAGAGGGUAAUGGGAACAGGGAAAGAGGGUAAUGGGAAGACGGAAAGGAGUGUUACCGAACAUCUUUGGUACGAAAAAUACAUUGUUCUUCUCACUCCUGCCAAAGCCACUUUCUAAAAUGGAGAAACAGUGAGUGAUGCUUCUCUCUGAAGCAUUUUACGUCAUAUUAUUCCUUGCAGAAUGCCAUAUUGAAUAGAUGAAAUCCAAGGGUAUACUACAAAAAAAUGAAAUACAAUACAACAUAACCUGCAACGGACUAUUCUGUGUUCAAGAUGAGUUGAGAAUGGCUGAUCCUGCUCCAGUCAUUACCACGGUUCUGUUCUCCCCAAUUAAGGUGCCACCAACCUCCUGUGGUCAAAAGACCAAUGAAUGGAAAAAGAUCAGAAUUGGGCUGCCUGUGUAAACGCAGCCUAACUGCCAUUCAACAUCUAUCUGCACUGCACAGAGUUUCGAUAGGGGAGAAAUGCUCUGAGGUUUAUACAGACAUAUUCAUGUUGACAUCAACUGAUGAAAGUCACUGAUGAUGCCCCAGGGUACAAUGUCAUUUCCAUUCCAAACAGUCAUUUGUUGUAUCAGAGAAUGAUGCAGGGAGAGUCAUAAAGAAAACAAUGAAAGAGGAGAUACAAACAGAGGAAGAAAAAAAUACAACUUUAAAUCAGAAUAUAGUGUGAGACAGGGAAAAUACAGAACGAUUGUAGGUGUAUGUGUGAGUGUGUGGGGAUGCAUGCUUGCGUGUGUGUCUCAGAUAGAGAGAGAUCGAGAGAGAGAGAGAGAGAGAGAGAGAGGUGUGCGAGAGAUUCAGAGACAAGACACUCCGGCUAGAAAUUGUGUUUUUUGUCGAUGCGCUUGAGGAAACAGAGUGCGAGCGAAAACACUUUAGGAUGGUGUUAGGCGCUGAUUCAGAUUUAAUGUCCUAAUAUGUCAAGGUCGCUCCCAGCGGCUCCCUUCCCCAGGAAGACAAAUGGAGAGCAUCGGGGCAGACGCAGUGAGCAGACACCCGAGCUAAGAGAGGUGUAGGCAGAGAAGCAGUGGUGGAGGAGGAGGGGAAUCGUUCAGCAAGGCCAGAGAAUGCAUUAGAAGAGCACUGCUUAAGACACAAUGGUUAGAAUGGUUGGAGUCAGAAAAGGCAACUUCCGAAUGAAGAGGAAUACAGUUGUCAGUGUACCAGAAAACCUUUUCUGUGUAAUCGACUACAUUGAAAUGUACCCAAAACGGCCCAUAUUAUAAUAUCAUACCCAUAGCUACAGUAAUAUAAGAACAAGUAUUUUUUUUAUCAAGUAUGGUGUGUCAUACCCCUGGUGUCAUACACCCGGCUAGAAUGUAGAAUGUAGCCAAUCCAGAAUCCAAACUAGCCGGUUUAUAAUGAUCUAUAUGGCUUUGAUGCAUUACUGUACUCGGGAUCAAGAGAACCAUGCUGAUUGAGACAUGUCAGAGAUUAAAUGCAGAGCUGAAGAUCUAGCGCUGACAGAAGACUUAUUUGAAGUCAGGUUUCACACGUCUCGCACUUUGUGCACGUGCACUCUCUGUCUGUAAUAUAUAAUGCCCUUGGAUGUCUAGGGGAUGUCUGGAAUGUGUGAGUAGAGGAGCCCAGCUCACGCUCUGACUGGGGUUCAAAUGAACCCUAAUGGCAGAACAGAGAUUAGAUUUACACAUGAAAGAGGCAGGGGGAUAGCUAGUCUCUCUCUCGAAAAGAAAUUCUAUCUCAAGACUUUGAUUAUGGCUUGAGAGAUCAGGGGAUAGCCUAGAUUUGGAGAAGGUGGAAUUUGAGUUAAGAGCAUGACUCUCGCUCAGUAUUGCAAACACACAGAGGCAGAGACAGACGCUGUCAGUCUGAACCAGGUCCAGGCCACCAGACGGCCUCGUUGGACUGGCCAUGCCGUUCGGUGAUUGGGCCACAGAGAUCUCCCAGGGGACCCCCGUCUGGCUCAUCGGGCCUGGGCGGGGGCCAACAUCACAGACUGAGAAGAGGAUUGAGCCAUAUCUGGCGGUGGAAAAUCUGUCAGGCCAUUCUCUCAUCCAAACUCAUUUUUUUUAUUUUAUUUUCUGUCAUCCAAACCAAAAACCCACAACAAAUCUGUCAUCCUAGCCCAACCCACAACAACACAGAACCGCAAAAUCUGCAGCAGACUGAAAAACCUCUCAACUGAAACUUGGGUAAAAGAAGGUGAGAAAUGCUUCCUCUUUUAAGACAUUAUUAGUGCCUGGUAUUAUUGACAAAUUAGUGUAUUUUCAGAAGAAAUGUGCGUAAUUUGUGCAAAACAUGUUUGCUAUUGUGUACGAUAUAAGGGAUCUUCAUGACCUCUAUCACUCUCCUUUCAUCUCUUAGCGACGAAGACAGAGGAGCUUUACAUAUAUAGAUGGAUCGUAUAAUUGUAUUGCUGCCAUUAAAAUACCGUUUACCGUUCAAGCUGAUUUGCAGAUUCAUCAGAACAACACGCCGGAAAUACUAUCCGACAGAUCACCCCCAUCCAAAACUAUAGUCGUAUAUAUCUUGACUCUGCAGAGGAGAUGAUGAUUGGGAUAAUUUGGGAUAUAGCCCUAUUCUUUAUGACACUGUCCUCAUGCAGUCUAUCAGCCAAAAAAGACAAGACUCCACACCCUGUGAGUGUGUUUAUUAUGACAACCUUUACUUUUUUAUAAAUAUACUAUUUAGUAAAAUGUUAACUCCCUUGAGCUUAAAACCUAUUUUGCAACCUAUUUUGAUCUUCACAAUGUCAUGCCCUGAUCUGUUUCACCUGUCCUUGUCUCCACCCCCCCUCCAGGUGUCGCCCAUCUUCCCCAGGUGUGUUUCCUGUCAGUCUGUGCCAGUUCGUCUUGUUUUUUCAAGUCAACCAGCGGUUUCUCAGCUCCUGACUCUGAACCCGCCUGCUUGACCACUCUGCCGGAGCCUGCCUGCCUGCCUGCCGUCCUGUACCUUGGCCCAACUACUCUGGAUUAUCGACCCCUGCCUUGACCUGUCAUUUGCCUGCCCCUGAUGUUACAAUAAAAAAGGUUACUUCUA